rnacentral:lncRNA from 1 species
CUACUAAUUAAUUAUGUCGUCGUAAAUAAUAUAUAAGCUAAUAUAAAGCUAAGGUGAGAAAAUAAACCAUUUAAUUAAUUCAUUGCCUCACAGAACUUCCAAAAUGAACUUCAUGAUUGCUGCCUUAUUCAUCUUGAUGGCUGCGUUUGCGUAUCUAGCUCAGUCUUCACCGCUACCGGAUUCAGAACCUAGGCCCCUACCAAAGGACUCAUCUCGAGGACCCAUAAUAAGACCACAGAAACACCACUAAUAUGUAUAUGACUCCACAUAUUCUACUUGUCGCACCAACUGGAACUAUUUUUGGUUAGUAAUCAAAGAAGUACUUGUGUCACAAAUAAAUAUGUACUAAACACA